rnacentral:rRNA from 1 species
UGAUCCUGGCUCAGAACGAACGUUGGCGGCGUGGAUGAGGCAUGCAAGUCGAACGUGAAAGCCGCAAGGUGAGUAGCGUGGCGGACGGGCGAGUAACACGUAAUCAAGCUGCCUGCGAGACGGGGAUAACCUCGGGAAACCGAGGCUAAGACCCGAUGGUCUGCCGAGACCGCAUGGUUUUGGUAGUAAAUGGGCGGGAUCCUCCGGGAUCGCCUGCUCGCAGAGGUGAUUGCGGCCCAUCAGCUAGUUGGUAGGGUAACGGCCUACCAAGGCAACGACGGUAGCCGGCCUAAGAGGGUGGUCGGCCGCACUGGGACUGAGACACUGCCCAGACUCCUACGGGAGGCUGCAGUCGAGAAUCUUCCGCAAUGGGCGAAAGCCUGACGGAGCGACGCCGCGUGGAGGACGAAGGCC